GUUUGCUUAGUGGAAAUGCAAAUAACCUGCAAAGCCAUGAUUUUCUGAGCUGGAAACAUUUAGUGGAAGACUAACUAGACUUAAACACGAGGUAAAUCUGCUCACUUAUGAGUAAAACAUGCAAUAUUAUGACAGACAGCUAAUUGUCCUUGGAAAGGCUUUUUACGACAAUCGCUAAUUUGGCAGAGAAUGGUUCCAAAUGCAUGAAAAUCAUUUUAAGAGCCUCAGUGAAGAACAGAGUAGUUACAAUAUAUUAGCAACUUCUGUGGCAUAAACAUUUUAAAAAGCAUCGGCAAAGUAUUAAAUAUAAAAGCAAUAUGUAUAUACCCCUCCAUUCUCAGAAAAGCAUCAUGAUUUGUAGUGUAUUAGGUCAGAUUUAUUGACUGGGGAAUUAAGGCAUAACCAGCAGACAACAGUCUCUAUUGUCUCAGCUCCACAUAAUUCGCUGGGAACAACCCGUAUCGGCCUUUGCAGACACCCCUCCACCAGCCGUCAUCUAUCAUCUCUAUGUUUGUGAUGAUGUCAUCUGGAUCAAAGGAGAUCUCGUCAUCACCCGCAGCCUGAUAAUCAUAAAGAGCUAUGGCUGUAAUUCCAAGUUCAUUUUCAUAUUCAUCGUAGGUAUUUUCUUCUGCUUGGUAAUGGUCUCCUGCCCCUGCCACUUCAUAGACUGUCUCUGGUUCAUAUUCUGCCUCUCGCUGACUCACUGCUUCUUGGUAGUCUGACCCUGUCGUUUUGUAGCCGGAUUCCGGCUCGUGUUCUGCUGAGUAUGUUGUGCUAGAGUUCUUGUAGGCAGACUCUGCAUCAUAGGAAACUGCAUCCUGGUAGACUGGGCUUGAGGGUGUCUUCGGUUCAGCUGGUUGUGUGGUAGGAGAUGGUGGUGGAGUUUGUUUUUUGGCUUUAGCUUGCUCCUCCAGUUUCCUUCGAGCCUCUUCCUGUUCUUGUUUCUCCCGUGCCAUUCUUUGUGCUCUCUCAGCUUCUGCCUUCCUUCGGUCUUCCUGUUCUUUCUCCUUGGCGAGGUUUUCAAAGUUAGCUCUAAUGCUACUUGUUUUAUUAGCGACAGCUUCUACUGGCUUAGUUUUCUGAUAUGUUGAGGUUGGUUUCUCAAUAUCUUCAAAAGUUGCUGCAUUCUUAUCCAUCCGAUCCUUCUGUACACCGUACUUCCCACCAAAUCCUUUUGAAUAAUAUUUUCCUGAUCCAGACUUCUCACUUUAAGAUAACGGAAAACCAGGAAUUCAUGGUUUGUACCCCAACUAUUUCACAAUGAAUAAAGAGAGCAUUAUAACAGUAUUUGCUCACAAACAUCCCCUACUUCUUGUUUUAAAGACUACAAUUACACAAUCUUGCUAAAAUCCAU
rnacentral:lncRNA from 1 species